rnacentral:tRNA from 2 species
GGAAGGUUGGCAGAGUGGUUAAUGCGACGGCCUGCUAAGCCGUAGCCCCUUCUUUGGGGUUCAUGGGUUCGAUCCCCAUACCUUCCGCCA